UAAACUUUAAGUUAUAUAAACUAAGGGCCUUCAAAGCCCUAUUAAGGGUUACCCUAAGUUUAA
rnacentral:tRNA from 1 species